UAGCUGUAGCUAUAUAUGAAAUAUGCUGUGAAGUUUAAGUGGCGGGUUGUUGUUAAUCUGUUCACAUAUCUGUUUAACUAACUUCUUACAUUA